UACGUAGGUGGCAAGCGUUGUCCGGAUUUACUGGGCGUAAAGGAUGCGUAGGCGGAUAUUUAAGUCAGAUGUGAAAUUCCCGGGCUCAACUUGGGAGCUGCAUUUGAAACUGGGUAUCUAGAGUGCGGGAGAGGAGAGUGGAAUUCCUAGUGUAGCGGUGAAAUGCGUAGAGAUUAGGAAGAACACCAGUGGCGAAGGCGACUCUCUGGACCGUAACUGACGCUGAGGCAUGAAAGCGUGGGGAGCAAGCAGG
rnacentral:rRNA from 1 species